AAGAAUCACACCACACACAACCAGUCCUGCAUAUGGCACAGAAAUGGCAUCAAGAAACACCAGUCACAAAGAUACAAAUCUCUUAAGGGAGUUGGCCAAGUUCCUGAGGAACAUACGCUUUGCCAAGGACACCAAGAAAGGUCUGAAGAAGAUGCAGGCCAACAAUGCAAAGGCAGUGGGUGCACUCGCAGAGGCCAUCAAGGCCCUUGCCAAGCCUAAGGCUAUCAAGCCCAAGAUGCCAAAGGGUCCCAGCCUUGCACAGACUCAGCCAUCUGACGUUCACUGCUCACCCAAAGCUUAAGAAGUAGAUUCCAAGCUGCAUGGCCAAGGGUCACAGGCUCUGCCAACCAAAGUCCAAGGGUCAAACCAAGGCAGAGGCCAAAGCUCCAGCUCAGGAUCCCAAAGGUGCCCAGGCCCUUCUGAAGGCC
rnacentral:lncRNA from 1 species